rnacentral:tmRNA from 14 species
UAAAAAUCCGACCAAACUAUAAAUGCUGACUCUUUUGAGCCAGUUGCAAUGGCUGCCUAAUAGGCAAUAACCAAGCAUGAGGCGCUAGUGCCAAGAAACAGAAUCUAGCAAACCUGUUGAGCACCCAGGCUAACUGUGUUUCGAGGGUGCCGGGCCUCCUCGUUAAAAACUCACUGGGGUUUGCUUCUUUCACGUAAAGGAGACAGUCUUGUCGACUGACCAUAACCGUCGACUACGCACGUAGGCCGGGUUUUGAGGUUGUUCCGGACGCGAGUUCGAUUCUCGCCACCUCC